rnacentral:rRNA from 1 species
GCUCAGGAUGAACGCUGGCGGCGUGCCUAAUACAUGCAAGUCGAACGAGUUCUCGUUGAUGAUCGGUGCUUGCACCGAGAUUCAACAUGGAACGAGUGGCGGACGGGUGAGUAACACGUGGGUAACCUGCCCUUAAGUGGGGGAUAACAUUUGGAAACAGAUGCUAAUACCGCAUAGAUCCAAGAACCGCAUGGUUCUUGGCUGAAAGAUGGCGUAAGCUAUCGCUUUUGGAUGGACCCGCGGCGUAUUAGCUAGUUGGUGAGGUAAUGGCUCACCAAGGCGAUGAUACGUAGCCGAACUGAGAGGUUGAUCGGCCACAUUGGGACUGAGACACGGCCCAAACUCCUACGGGAGGCAGCAGUAGGGAAUCUUCCACAAUGGACGCAAGUCUGAUGGAGCAACGCCGCGUGAGUGAAGAAGGCUUUCGGGUCGUAAAACUCUGUUGUUGGAGAAGAAUGGUCGGCAGAGUAACUGUUGUCGGCGUGACGGUAUCCAACCAGAAAGCCACGGCUAACUACGUGCCAGCAGCCGCGGUAAUACGUAGGUGGCAAGCGUUAUCCGGAUUUAUUGGGCGUAAAGCGAGCGCAGGCGGUUUUUUAAGUCUGAUGUGAAAGCCCUCGGCUUAACCGAGGAAGCGCAUCGGAAACUGGGAAACUUGAGUGCAGAAGAGGACAGUGGAACUCCAUGUGUAGCGGUGAAAUGCGUAGAUAUAUGGAAGAACACCAGUGGCGAAGGCGGCUGUCUGGUCUGUAACUGACGCUGAGGCUCGAAAGCAUGGGUAGCGAACAGGAUUAGAUACCCU